rnacentral:rRNA from 1 species
GCUUGCUGGGUGGAUCAGUGGCGAACGGGUGAGUAACACGUGAGUAACCUGCCCCUGACUCUGGGAUAAGCCUUGGAAACGAGGUCUAAUACCGGAUAUGUGACGUUCAGGCAUCUGAUGCGUCUGGAAAGAUUUAUCGGUCAGGGAUGGACUCGCGGCCUAUCAGCUUGUUGGUGGGGUAACGGCCUACCAAGGCGACGACGGGUAGCCGGCCUGAGAGGGCGACCGGCCACACUGGGACUGAGACACGGCCCAGACUCCUACGGGAGGCAGCAGUGGGGAAUAUUGCACAAUGGGCGCAAGCCUGAUGCAGCGACGCCGCGUGAGGGAUGAAGGCCUUCGGGUUGUAAACCUCUUUCAGCAGGGAAGAAGCGCAAGUGACGGUACCUGCAGAAGAAGCGCCGGCUAACUACGUGCCAGCAGCCGCGGUAAUACGUAGGGCGCAAGCGUUGUCCGGAAUUAUUGGGCGUAAAGAGCUCGUA